CUAAAUUACCGACAAUUUAUCUCUAUCAAGUCACGUGAGAGUGGUAUAAUAAUUGAGCAUAAUAUUCCGUUUAUUAAAGGACUCGUUACCUUCAAUAUUCAUAGGUGAUUAACCUGAGCACGUGAACAAAGAUUUAUUACUUACAUUUUUAUACGUUAUUCCUUUUUAUCGAAAAAUUCGCGUGAUUCGAGUGUCAAUGGCGCUGUACCACAAGAAUUGCUGAUACUCAAAGGCUUUGGAAACCGACGACGGAUCUUGUUUUAGAUGAGAGUCAUCAAAUGAGAAGCCAUGCGGACAUGUGGCGGGACACUAUAUGAAAAUAGACGGAGCAGAUUCGUAAUGCUCUGAAUUUACAGUUGGUGUAUAAGGAAAAGUGUAGCAUUUGACCGAGUUUUACGUCAAGAUUUCAUUUAUGAAUAUAUGAAAAAUUUUUUUACCUCGUUGCGAUCCUCUCAACGUUCCCAGAAAAGAGCUGAUGUAUUGAAAAUUGAAGAGGCAAUUAUUUUUUUUUUAAAUAUACAAACACAUACUGGAUAUAUAUGUACAUUUCUAUCAGCACAUGAUCCAUUGAAUUAAUUUUUCCUGGUCAUUCUUCCUCAAUAUUCGUGCGCAAUAGCAGAGAAUCAAUUUUAUAACCCUUCCUGCAUGACUCACAUGAACAAAAAAGGAUAAAAAUGACUUUAAAUAUCGAGAGCUUGAAUGUAGUCAUAGUUAAAUGAAAUACUAUCACAAAAGAAUCGUGCUACAGAUGCAAGGAUUUGGAUUAGAGUUUAAUUAAAUCAUCAACAGAAGACUUUGUUGCAUGUAAAGUGUAUGUUUCAAUAUCCAAGAUUUCUUCAUAUCAAACCUUUUAUAUUAUAUAACUAUUGAAUUCAUGGCAUUGAAGCUCUUAGGAAUAAAGGAAAAUCAAAUUCAUCAUAUUCGAUUGGAUCGAAGCUCAGUAAAAGUUUUAGGUAUAAAAAUGGCAUAUUUUACAAUAUGAUACAUGUGAUGAUAGAGAAGCUAACUAAAUUGCUGUAGCUAUUAAUGUAAUAAUAAUUGUGUUAUGAGACUUGGA